UACUGCAUACAGUUCUACCGAGGCCAUAUUAUCUGACAAAACAGAUCAUUACGGUCUGUUUGCCUAAACCCCACCGCAAUUCCCACGGGAUACACUAAUCAUUUCCCAUUUUAAUCUGCUGAGUCGUAUUGCGCUUUCAUACCCAGUUGCUGCUGCCUGAUUGCACCCGCGGAGGCAGCUGUGAGCAGAGGUACCCGAAAAUACAAAAUAAAAAUCUUUGGUUUUCUCGGGUUUGCGGUCAAGUGCAAGUGUGCUCCUGUGCUUGCCACAGGAUGAAGCCCGGGGCUCCUGCUUGGCAUUUCUGAAGACUGCAAAGGCAGGGUUUGGGGCCAGUUGUCACCGAGGUGUUUGACGGUGCUUGUGACUCGUGCAAAGCGGAGAUGUGGUCCAGGGCUGCAGGGACACUGCGGCGGCUCCGCGCCAAGACGCAGCUGCUGACCGGGGUCGUCCGCGAGGAUGUGCAAGGCCAGGAGUCGAUGUCCUGGGAAGCGUCGCGUGUCACCUGUCACGGGCUGCGGGCUGCUCGCGCGUUUGCAGCGGAUCCAACCUGUUUUCUUCUGAAUGGUCGCUGCUGCGGCUGGAAGCGAAGCGACAAUUCCCUUUCUCUCGCCGAGCUUGCAAAAGCGAGGGCUGCAGCAUCGCAGGAAGAAACGCCCCCCUCUCCCGCAGGCGCCAGCGGAUCCCUGCGCCUCUAACCGUCUGAAGUCACAGGAUGGAGCAGGGGGCUUCCCCGAGGGACGGCGACACUUAACUCGCCCCUAAAACCACGUCCGGAACUCGGCUCAGGGGCUUGGGGCUUCGCGGGCCGGGCCGGGCCGGGCCAGGCGAGCCGGGCCGGCCCGGGCCCGAGCCAACACCACUUGGUUCACAAAAGCAACCAAGGAAUGGCCCAAAAUAAAUACAAAUGAAGUCACCUUGAAAUCUCAGCGCCGCGUGUAGCUCUCGCCGAGCAGCAUUGCAGGGUUUUUCCUGUAGCUUUAACCCCUUUCUUGCAAAGCACUGUAACCAUGACCAAAAACACAAAUCAGUUGAAAACCUGGGAAAAAAUUCAUCUGAAAAACUGAUGGGAAUAAGGGUCCAUUACGCUUAUAAUGAAGCAAAACACUGUUAUUACCUCGAAAUAAACGUACAUGGUCACAGCAUGGCAGCCCCCACCCCAAUGCCAGGGAGAGGAGCAUUGCUUUCAAGAGCGGGGACACUGAUCCAGCUGCAGCAGUCGCAGGGUCUCCCACCCACACUCUGUUACUGGCAGCUCAUUUGUAUGCAGUUUUAAAUCUUUUCUAUGAACACACAUUUUUUUUAGUUUGAUUUCUACCAUUCAUCUCUCCUCUGGUACCUCAUGGUAAGCUUCAUGGACCCUCGUUCUCAACAGUUUUUCAGAUGAAAUAUUUUUUGUCAGAUACAGCAAAAAGGGUUAAAGCUACAGAACUCAUGCAAGAUGAAGAAUGUUUAAUUUUACAUUAAAUGAACCAGGAUUAAAUGUACACAAUCUGCUUCCCCUAUAAAACCUCACUUCCAACAUGCAA